UUACUUAAUAAGUGUGUGCGCAUGCUCAGUAGAAAUACCAGUUUGAAUUAAGCUAGCGAUGAUCGGACCAUCGAACUUAAGCCAAUGAACUAGCUGUCUUUGGCAGUUCCGGUGUCCCGUUUCAAGUUUUGAAUUCACAAACGAAGCGCCCAUUCUAGUGCCGUCGUCUUGUAGCGAGUGUAAAGGAAGGAAGAUUCAUAGGCUUAAGAAAAUUUGCCAAGUCACAGUGAAGUAAAAAAGUAAAAAAAAAAAUUAAAAAAAAACAUGGCAUCCAUAGUCCGUUAUUAAUGGAGCUACAGUGUAAGUAUUGGCGAAGAUGGACACGAAAACUUAAAAUUCAAUAUCCAUUAUCAGAUCACCAGUCCUGAGCUGCAGUAUGUGCUACCUGCCAACAUACCAGUACUUUCUAUGGAGGCAUUAUAAUAAUUUUGAUCGGUACUUGAAGAUGGUCUUGUGCAAACAAUUGUAUUUUCAAGCCUUGAAACUUGUUUAACAACAUUUAAAUUUAUCCUGAACAAUUUUGUUUCCUGACUUCAUCUGAACUUGAUCAAAAAGUACUAAGAAGUUUCAAAAGCUCAAGACUGUCAAAAUCGGGCCAGUUUGCAGAAUUCUGAAAUGCGAGGAUGCAACUAGAUGUGAAAAAAAGGAGGCGAUUGAAUACUUUCUUAAUAACCUUUGUGAAAAGUAUGAGGGAAAAAGGCAUUCAUACUUCUGUUACUAUGAUUCAUGGUGAAACUAUUGACGAUUCUUAUUGAUAGACUCUUGCAUGGACCCUAUCAAUUUGAGGAUAUUCAUAAUCUGUAAAAACGUUAAAUAUGUGAUAUUCCCAAUGCGAUCAAAAUGAUGGAAUAUUCUUACUUUCCAAGGAGCUGGAGAAAUUGAAUUGUAAGGGACAUUAAGAAAUUUUUGAUUUCA